GGAUCCUACGGGGCGCAGCAGUGGGGGAUAUUGCACAAUGGGGGGAACCCUGAUGCAGCGACGCCGCGUGGGUGAAGGAGCGUUUCGGCGCGUAAAGCCCUAUCGGCAGGGAAGAAGAUGACGGUACCUGACCAAGAAGCCCCGGCUAACUACGGGCCAGCAGCCGCGGGAAUACGUAGGGGGCAAGGGUUAUCCGGAUUUACUGGGUGUCAAGGGGGCGCAGACGGGAAUGCAAGGCAGGAGGAGAA
rnacentral:rRNA from 1 species